CCUACGGGUGGCAGCAGUGGGGAAUAUUGCGCAAUGGGCGAAAGCCUGACGCAGCGACGUCGCGUGAGGGAUGACUGUCCUAGGAGCGUAAACCUCUGUCAGCAGGGAAGAACGGUCACUGUGCUAAUCAGCAGUGAAUUGACGUUACCUGCAAAGGACGCACAGGCUAACUCCGUGCCAGCAGCCGCGGUAAUACGGAGGGUGCGAGCGUUAAUCGGAAUUGCUGGGCGUAAAGCGCGCGUAGGCGGUAUGUCAAGUCAAGGGUGAAAGCCCGGCGCUCAACGUGGGAACUGCAUUUGAGACUGGCAAACUGGAGUGUGUGUGAGGAUAGUGGAAUUCGAGGUGUAGCAGUGAAAUCCGUAGAUAUCUGGAGGAACAUCAAUGGCGAAGGCGACUAUCUGACACAUAACUGACGCUGAGGAGCGAAAGCGUGGGUAGCAAACAGGAUUAGAUACCCCGGUAGUC
rnacentral:rRNA from 1 species